rnacentral:rRNA from 1 species
UACAGAGGGUGCGAGCGUUAAUCGGAAUUACUGGGCGUAAAGCGCGCGUAGGCGGCUUUGCAAGUCGGGUGUGAAAUCCCCAGGCUUAACCUGGGAACUGCAUUCGAGACUGCAUUGCUAGAGUAUGGGAGAGGGAAGUGGAAUUUCCGGUGUAGCGGUGAAAUGCGUAGAUAUCGGAAGGAACAUCAGUGGCGAAAGCGACUUCCUGGACCAAUACUGACACUGAGGAGCGAAAGCCAGGGGAGCAAACGGG